CAGCAGUUCAAGACUGGCCUGGCCAACAUGGUGAAACCCUGUCUCUACUAAAAAUACAAAGAAUUAGCUGGGUGUGGUGGUGGGCACCUGUAAUCUCAGCUACUCGGGAGGCUGACAGGAGAAUCACUUGAACCCAGGAGGUGGCAGUUGCAGCGAGCCAAGAUCGCGCCACUGCACUCCAGCCUGGGCAACAGAGCAAAACUCUUUCUCAAAAAAAUAUAUAAUAAUAUGAUAAAUUGGUUACAAAAGUGUUGUAGAGGCUGAAGGAGCAAAAGGGAGAACGGAGGGUACUGAGGAACAUAAAAGUCAAAGGGGUGGUAGUCAUUGCCGGCGCUGGUAGCAGAGGUGCUGUCUAAAAAAACAAAACAAAACAAAAUCGAUACCAUCAGCCUAAUAGAUACACAAUAAACACAUGGGUAGGAGAGGAACUGUUUCUUACAAACCCUUUAACUAUGAUCAUCAUGCUUGAGUUUAAGGAGCAGGCACGUUUGAGCUGAUGACAAACUUUGAGCUGACAAAACUGAGGCUUACAGCAACCUCCACCUCCCGGGUUCAAGCGAUUCUCCUGCCUAUGCCUCCCGAGUAGCUGGGAUUACAGGCAUGCACCACUACACCCGGCUAAUUUGUUUUGUAUUUUCAGUAGAGAUGGAGUUUCACCGUGUUAGCCAGGGUGGUCUCAAUCUGCUGACCUCAUGAUCCGACUGCCUCAGCCUCCCAAAGUGCUGGGAUUACAGGCAUGAGCCACUGCGCCCAGCCUCACCCAGCAAAUUUUUGGUUUUUUGUUUUGUUUUGUUUGUUUGUUUGAGACAGAGUCUCGCUCUGUCACCGAGGCUGGAGUGCAGUGGUGCGAUCUUGGCAUACCGCAGCCUCUGCCUUCUGGGUUCAAGCAAUUCUCCUGCCUCAGCCUCCCCAGUAGCUGGGAUUACAGGCAUGCACCACCACGGCUGGCUAAUUUUUGUAUUUUUAGUAGAGAAGGGGUUUCACCAUGUUGCCCAGGCUGGUCUUGAAUUCCUGCCUUUAGGUGAUCUGCCUGCCUUGGCCUCCCAAAGUGCUGGGAUUAUAGGAGUAAGCCACUGUGCCCAGGCUUAAUUUUUAUAUAUAUAUUUUUUUGUAGAGACAAGUUCUUGUUAUGUUGCCCGGGCUGGUCUCCAACUCCUGGCCUCAACUCAUCCUCUGGUCUUGGCCUCCCAAAGUGCUGGGAUUAUAGGCAUGAGCCACUGCGCCUGGCCCUCAAUAUUUAUUUAUGAUUUGCUAUUGUUUGCCUAUUUGUCCCCUCCAAAACUCAUGUUGAAAUUUAAUCCUCAAUGCGGCCAUAUCAAGAAGUGGGGCCUUUAAGAGGUGUUUGGGUCACGAGGGCUCUGCCCUGAUGAGUGGAUUAAUCCACUUAUAGAUUAAUGGGUAUUAAAUGCAUUGGCGGCUUAUCAUGGGAGUGGGACUGGUGGCUUUAUAAGAAGAGAGACCUGACUUAGCAUGUCCAGCCCCCUUGCCAUGUGAUGCUCUGCAUUGCCUCAGAAUUCUGCAGAGUCCCCACAAGCAAAAAGACCCUCACCAGAUGUACCCCUCAACCGUGUACUUCCCGGCCCCCAGAAUUCUAAGCGAAUUAACGCAGGAACAAAAAACCAAACAGUGCAUGUUCUUACUUGUAAGUGGGAGCUAAAAAGGCCAGGCACAGUGAGUCACACCUGUAAUCCCAGCACUUUGGGAGGCUGAAGCCGGAGGACUGCUUGAGCCCAAACGUUUGAGACCAGCCGGGGAACGAAGUGAAACCACGUCUCUACAAAAAAUACAAAAUUAGCCAGGCAUGAUGGUAUACACCUGUGGUCCCAGCUACUCGAGAGGCUGAGGUAGGAGGAUCGAUUAAGCCCGGGAGGUCGAGGCUGCAGUGAGCCGUGAUUGUGCCACUGCACUCCAGCCUGGGUGACAGAAUGAGACCCUGUCUUAAAACAUAUAUAAAAAUAAGUGAGAGCUAAACAUGGAGCACACAUGGACAUAAACAUGGGAAGAACAGACACUGUGGACCACUAGAGUGGUUGAAAAACUACCUAUUGGAUACUAUGCUCACUACCUGGUGUGAUACCAGGUAACAAUCCUGCACAUGUACCCUGUGUAUCUAAAAUAAAAGCUGAAUUUUUUUUAAAAAAUUUGUUUUUAAUAAAUGACCCAGUUUUAGGUAUUGUUAUAAGUAACAAAAAAUGGACUAAGACAUUCUUCUUUUGUU
rnacentral:lncRNA from 1 species